CCUACGGGAGGCUGCAGUGAGGAAUAUUGGUCAAUGGGCGAGAGCCUGAACCAGCCAAGUCGCGUGAGGGAGUACUGCCCUAUGGGUUGUAAACCUCUUUUGUCGGGGAGCAAAAGCCGGACGUGUCCGGCUGUGAGCGUACCCGAAGAAAAAGCAUCGGCUAACUCCGUGCCAGCAGCCGCGGUAAUACGGAGGAUGCGAGCGUUAUCCGGAUUUAUUGGGUUUAAAGGGUGCGCAGGCGGAUUUUUAAGUCAGCGGUAAAAUCGUGGGGCUCAACCCCAUCCAGCCGUUGAAACUGGGGAUCUAGAGUGUGCGAGAGGUAUGCGGAAUGCGUGGUGUAGCGGUGAAAUGCAUAGAUAUCACGCAGAACCCCGAUUGCGAAGGCAGCAUACCGGUGCACAACUGACGCUCAGGCACGAAAGCGUGGGUAUCGAACAGGAUUAGAUACCCCUGUAGUC
rnacentral:rRNA from 1 species